rnacentral:pre_miRNA from 1 species
GCGGAGAUUUAUCUAAACUUGUGGGACCUGUUCUGUUUAGUAUGUAUGCGGCGGUAUUAAUGAGCUCUGCCCAUAGCACUUGCGGUAAUGGCUCAUGAGCGUACAUCAUUGAUCUUGCUGUCUCAACUAGGGUUCUGUUCUCCC